UACAGAGGUCUCAAGCGUUGUUCGGAUUCAUUGGGCGUAAAGGGUGCGUAGGCGGCGCGGUAAGUCGGGUGUGAAAUUUCGAGGCUUAACUUCGAAACUGCAUUCGAUACUGCCGUGCUUGAGGACUGGAGAGGAGACUGGAAUUUACGGUGUAGCGGAGAAAUGCGUAGAUAUCGUAAGGAAGACCAGUGGCGAAGGCGGGUCUCUGGACAGUUCCUGACGCUGAGGCACGAAGGCCAGGGGAGCAAACGGG
rnacentral:rRNA from 1 species